UCAGCAGCUUCAAACCCGAUAUGGGAAUUCAUUUGGAAACUUCCAUGUCCAGCUAAGAUAAAGAUCUUUCUUUGGAGAACUCUACAUGGCACGCUUCCUUGCCGUGUAAACUUAGCAGAUUGGCAUAUGAAACUAUCCACGAAGUGUCCUGCUUGCGAAGAAGCUGAAAGUGUUAAGCACAUGCUCUUUUUAUGCCUAAAAGCAAAGCAAGUAUGGUAUAUGCUGGGUCUCCAGGAGGUGAUUGAGCGGGGAUGCGAUGUCGACCGGGCAGGAGAAGCUGUUCUUGAAUAUUUGUUAUCUGUUCCCGCAAAUGAGAUAAUGGUUCUAGGGCAAGGAAAAGGACCUUUGAUCAUUGCUAUCACAUGCUGGUUCUUGUGGUGGGAAAGGAGGAAGCUGGUUCAUGGGGAACACAUUCAACAACCAAACCAAAUUGUUCUAUCUAGUCGUGCCCUUGCUGAGAACUUCUCGGCGGCUGCUACUAGUUCUGCAAAAGAAAAGAGAAACCCAUGGCAAAGACCGCCAGCAGGAUAUGUCAAACUGAACGUCAAUGCCUCUUUUGAUGCUGAUUCACUUCAAGGAACUGCGGGGGUUGUUUUGCGUGAUUGUAAGGGGCUGUUGUUGGAAGCAAGUAACAAUGUAGCUGGGGUCUGUACAGAUGUGGUCAUGGCAGAAGCUCUAGCACUCCGGUUUGGUUUAAAUCUGGCAACAUCGGUUGGCUGUUCAAAGAUGAUUGUUAACUCCGACAGUUCAGACGUAAUUUUGGCUAUGCAUGAUGGGGGGAAUACAUCAGGCUCCUCUACUGCAAUUUUGGAUGAUUGUUUCCACAUGGCAAAGGAUUUCAGAUGCGUGCGUUAUGAGCAUUGCCAUAGGGAAGCUAAUGCUGUGGUUGAUGAGCUAGCUAGAAUCUGUAAAUUUUCUUCCCCUAGUUCCUGGUUUGAUGAGGCACCGGAUGCCAUCAUACCCUUGCUUGUAAAAGACAAUGUUUUAAUUACUAGCUAA
rnacentral:rRNA from 1 species